ACUUAUAUUUUCCUUUUUUAUUUCCAUACCUUUUAUUUCUUUGUCUUGUCAAAUAUUUCUAGUUAGCACUUCCAAGGUCAACACAAAUAACAGAGGU